AGUCGAACGCUGAAGCACCAGCUUGCUGGUGUGGAUGAGUGGCGAACGGGUGAGUAAUACGUGAGUAACCUGCCCUUGACUCUGGGAUAAGCCCGGGAAACUGGGUCUAAUACUGGAUGCUACAUGUCACCGCAUGGUGGUGUGUGGAAAGGGUUUACUGGUCUUGGAUGGGCUCACGGCCUAUCAGCUUGUUGGUGAGGUAAUGGCUCACCAAGGCGACGACGGGUAGCCGGCCUGAGAGGGUGACCGGCCACACUGGGACUGAGACACGGCCCAGACUCCUACGGGAGGCAGCAGUGGGGAAUAUUGCACAAUGGGCGAAAGCCUGAUGCAGCGACGCCGCGUGAGGGAUGACGGCCUUCGGGUUGUAAACC
rnacentral:rRNA from 1 species